AUGGGAGCCGCCGCGGCGGCGGCGAAGGGGGCCGGCGGGACGCGGAGGUGCGAGGCCGGAGGUAACAGCCCCGCCAGGCCGGGGGCGGCCGGGCUGCGGCGGGAGAAGGGGCGUGCGGCGAGCGACUGCCGCCGCCGCCGGGGCGUGGUUGCCUCACGGUCCCCUCCCCUCCCCUCCCUUCCUCUCCUCUCCCCGCUGGCGCGGCCUCGGUACCAGCCGAGCGCCGGGGAAGCGGCGCGGCGCUUACCGGGCUGCAGGGAGGGCAGCGGAGCCGGCCGGCGGCUGAGAGCGGCGGAGAGCCGGCGGAGGGAGCGGGCCGGGCGCGGGGCAGCAUGGGACGGCGGCGCCUUCACCCCGGCGCCGGGCGGAAGGGCGGCCCGCGGCGGGAUCCGGCUCUGGGCCGGAGGCGGGCGGGGCGGCUCCGGGGCUGACGUGGCCGCCGCGCCUGCCUCGGGCAGGGGGUUCGGCUGCUGCCGGCCGCUCCCUGCCGGGGAGCCCCGGCCCCGGCCCCCGCCCCCCGCCCCUGCCACAGCCGGGCCCGCCCUCUGCCCGGCCUCGGCUCCUGCCCCCUCCCCUCCCCUCGGCAGCCUGCGCUGCAGCCGCCCGCGGCCGGGGCUGAGGCGGGGUGGUGGGUACCGUGGCGGGGCCCGCAGGCAGCCGUCACGCCGCGUCCCCAGGGAUCCCCCACGGGUCGAGGGGGCUGGGAAUAAAGAAGUACAAGUGGUAGGGUGGUGCUGGAGGAGGAGGAGGAGGAGGGGGGGGAGAGGGGGGAGCGGCGCGAUGCGCCUGCUGAGGAGAGCCCGCCCCAGACUCUCCGGUCUGUGCCUCGAGCCCAGAACCCUGCCCGGGGACGCCUCACAGGUCUUCCCAGAUAAAAGACGACGAAGGGGGCCGCUUCCUCGGGGCGUUUCCCUGCUGGUCGCAGAGCUGCCCUCGCCUCGGCGAGGCCGGUGGCGGGGAGAGGCUCCCAAGGGCGGGCAGAGGGAUGCGGUGGUCCCCCCGCAGCCGGUCACUCGCCUUUCCUGA
rnacentral:lncRNA from 1 species